rnacentral:rRNA from 1 species
ACUGGGACUGAGACACGGCCCAGACUCCUACGGGAGGCAGCAGUGGGGAAUUUUCCGCAAUGGGCGCAAGCCUGACGGAGCAAUACCGCGUGAGGGAGGAAGGCCUUUGGGUUGUAAACCUCUUUUCUUAAGGAAGAAGAUCUGACGGUACUUAAGGAAUCAGCAUCGGCUAACUCCGUGCCAGCAGCCGCGGUAAUACGGAGGAUGCAAGCGUUAUCCGGAAUUAUUGGGCGUAAAGCGUCCGCAGGCGGCAUUAUAAGUCUGCUGUCAAAGACCGCAGCUCAACUGCGGAAAGGCAGUGGAAACUGUAGAGCUAGAGUACGGUAGGGGUAGAGGGAAUUCCCAGUGUAGCGGUGAAAUGCGUAGAGAUUGGGAAGAACACCAGUGGCGAAAGCGCUCUACUGGGCCGUAACUGACGCUCAGGGACGAAAGCCAGGGUAGCGAAAGGGAUUAGAUACCCCUGUAGUCCUAGCUGUAAACGAUGGAUACUAGGCGUAGCUUGUAUCGACCCGAGCUGUGCCGAAGCUAACGCGUUAAGUAUCCCGCCUGGGGAGUACGCACGCAAGUGUGAAACUCANAGGAAUUGACGGGGGCCCGCACAAGCGGUGGAGUAUGUGGUUUAAUACGAAGAUACGCGUGGAACCUUACCAGGGCUUGACAUGUCGCGAAUCUAGG